rnacentral:rRNA from 1 species
AUGAAACCGCUUCGGUGGUGGAUUAGUGGCGAACGGGUGAGUAACACGUGGGCAAUCUGCCCUUCACUCUGGGACAAGCCCUGGAAACGGGGUCUAAUACCGGAUAAUACUCCUGCCUGCAUGGGUGGGGGUUGAAAGCUCCGGCGGUGAAGGAUGAGCCCGCGGCCUAUCAGCUUGUUGGUGGGGUAAUGGCCUACCAAGGCGACGACGGGUAGCCGGCCUGAGAGGGCGACCGGCCACACUGGGACUGAGACACGGCCCAGACUCCUACGGGAGGCAGCAGUGGGGAAUAUUGCACAAUGGGCGAAAGCCUGAUGCAGCGACGCCGCGUGAGGGAUGACGGCCUUCGGGUUGUAAACCUCUUUCAGCAGGGAAGAAGCGCAAGUGACGGUACCUGCAGAAGAAGCGCCGGCUAACUACGUGCCAGCAGCCGCGGUAAUACGUAGGGCGCAAGCGUUGUCCGGAAUUAUUGGGCGUAAAGAGCUCGUAGGCGGCUUGUCACGUCGGAUGUGAAAGCCCGGGGCUUAACCCCGGGUCUGCAUUCGAUACGGGCUAGCUAGAGUGUGGUAGGGGAGAUCGGAAUUCCUGGUGUAGCGGUGAAAUGCGCAGAUAUCAGGAGGAACACCGGGUGGCGAAGGCGGAUCUCUGGGGCCAUUACUGACGCUGACGACCCAAAGC